rnacentral:rRNA from 1 species
GAUGAACGCUAGCGGCAGGCCUAACACAUGCAAGUCGAGGGGCAGCACAGGAAAGUAGUAAUACUUUUGGGUGGCGACCGGCGGACGGGCGCGUAACGCGUAUACAACCUGCCUUCUACUGGGGGAUAAUUCGGAGAAAUCUGGUCUAAUACCCCAUAACAACCGAUGAGGCAUCUCAUUGGUUUAAAAGCUCCGGCGGCAGAAGAUGGGUAUGCGUGACAUUGGAUAGCUGGUGAGGUAACGGAUCACCAAGGCUACGAGGUUUAGGGGGACUGAGAGGUUAACCCCCCACACUGGAACUGAGACACGGUCCAGACUCCUACGGGAGGCAGCAGUGAGGAAUAUUGGUCAAUGGGCGGAAGCCUGAACCAGCCAUGCCGCGUGCAGGAAGACGGCUCUAUGAGUUGUAAACUGCUUUUAUACGAGGGUAAUAGUAUCUACGUGUAGGUAUUUGAAAGUAUCGUAUGAAUAAGGAUCGGCUAACUCCGUGCCAGCCGCCGCCGUAA